rnacentral:lncRNA from 1 species
GUCAUCUCUCCCAUCUCUCCUAUGUCACCUCCUGCUCUGCUGGCACCAUAGGGACUUCUAGGGCAGGGAGUGAUGCUUCAUCUCCCUUUUUCAUGCAGGUUGCCUCUGCUGGGGAGCACCUACAGGCUGGAGGAGAUUGUGAACUUUCUGGGGCCACAACUGUCUUUCUCAUCUGUGCUUCUCCAGAAAUACUUGAAUGGAUCUUGAAUGGAUGGGGAAUGGAAGACAUAGAUUUUACCUUGAGAGAGGCAACAGUGGUUUUCACCUCCCUGCAAAUCUACUGAUGCUGAAUGCAUGGUGAAAAUCAUGGACUUCCUUUCUUGAAUGCUGCCUUCAAGUUCUUGGCCCUCCAAAUGAUCUUCCAGCCCAGCUUGUCCUGUGCCUCUGGUCUUCCAUGCACCCAUCUCUCUGCCUUUGCUGGCCAAGGAGAAAGCACAUGGGCCUGGAGUGUCGAAGGAUGGCAGUCAGAGAUGUGGCAUUGCCAUAUGGACUUUCCUCCAAUGAAGUUCCUAGGUUCCUGGUGACCUCCUCUGCUGUGCC